AAAGUAAUUGUUUGUGCGAAGUCAAUCUAACCUCAUUUGACCUUUUGACCCUUGGUCAGGACUGGUCAAUGCCGGCCAAUUUAAAAUCCACAGGUUUUGACAACUCAUUGUGAAAACCUUCGGUUUGAUGAACGUAAGUCCCUGGGAGCUUUUAACUUCCAUAAAGUACUGAGAAAAUACAUAUUUAACUUUCAAAAUAUCUUAAAAAAGCCUUAAUAAAAACUUUACACCCGGACCGAAAAACAAUUUACAAAAUAGUUUUAGCCUCCGGUAAACAGAUAUUGGGUUUCCAUUAUAGUAUUUCGCAAUAUUGCAUCAGCCGGUUACGACUAGUUUUAUCAAUACACAUAACAUUCUUUACUGUUUUAAGUAUUAUAACGAAAAAAGUGGAAUUUAAACAACUGAAAUGUAUUCAAGAAUUCUACAAAGAUAUUAUUAACCAGACGAAUUACAACGUGAAAAAUCCAAGACUUUAUAAAGACAACGAACGUUUAACACAAAAUAUAUCAUCGGAAGACUUCAAGAAAAGAAUGUUAA
rnacentral:lncRNA from 1 species